GAUGAACGCUGGCGGCGUGCCUAAUACAUGCAAGUCGAGCGAAUGGAUUAAGAGCUUGCUCUUAUGAAGUUAGCGGCGGACGGGUGAGUAACACGUGGGUAACCUGCCCAUAAGACUGGGAUAACUCCGGGAAACCGGGGCUAAUACCGGAUAACAUUUUGAACCGCAUGGUUCGAAAUUGAAAGGCGGCUUCGGCUGUCACUUAUGGAUGGACCCGCGUCGCAUUAGCUAGUUGGUGAGGUAACGGCUCACCAAGGCAACGAUGCGUAGCCGACCAGAGAAGUUGAUCGGCCACACUGGGACUGAGACACGGCCCAGACUCCUACGGGAGGCAGCAGUAGGGAAUCUUCCGCAAUGGACGAAAGUCUGACGGAGCAACGCCGCGUGAGUGAUGAAGGCUUUCGGGUCGUAAAACUCUGUUGUUAGGGAAGAACAAGUGCUAGUUGAAUAAGCUGGCACCUUGACGGUACCUAACCAGAAAGCCACGGCUAACUACGUGCCAGCAGCCGCGGUAA
rnacentral:rRNA from 1 species